UCGAAGCCCUCCUCUACUCUCUCACUUCUUAGUUGAGGCGUCACCUUUCUAGAGAGAUCAUCGACAAAUCGAAACAGAGCCCUAAACCAAGAUGAGAGCCAAGUGGAAGAAAAAGCGCAUGAGGAGACUGAAGCGGAAGCGCCGAAAGAUGAGGCAGAGAUCCAAGUAGUUUUGCCCUGGAAACCCCUUGUCUUCAUUAUUGUCCAGCAUAUGUUGAAUGAAGAUUUAAGGGUAUUAUCAGGCAAGCUUAUCUGUUUUUCUUCUAAAUCUAGGUUUAAGUUUUAAGAUUGAGAUGUUAUAUAGUAUUAUGUUGGUAUUUUGUGGUUUGAUCCAUGUAAACAGUUAUAUUUAGUAUGCUAAACGUUUGAAGUUGAAACUUUUAUUCUCCCAUAUGUGGUCUAAUAUACGAGAUAGAUUGUUGCCAUA